rnacentral:lncRNA from 1 species
GGAAGCCACUGUAUGAUAUGUUAUCGCUUUGUUAUAAUUUAUUAAAAUAUUUUGUUAUGUAACAUUAAUGUCUCCGCUCUUCGAAGAUUUCUCAUUCCAAAUCCUGAAAACCCAACAAAUGCGUUGAAAUCAAAAGUUUAGGAUCAUGAUUUCUUUAAUACCAUAGGAUACAAUAUUGCAAAUCACAAAGGUAAUAUUUUUUUAAUAUUUAUUGAUAAUACUAAAUUUUCAACCUUCCUAAUAUGGAGAAGGAGAGGGCGAAACAUCUUUUUUAACUAAAGUGCACUUAUUCCAUACUUGUGCACCUCUUGAUAAGAUCACCGAUGUAUCAUUAUUCUUAAAUAGAGGAUUUUCAAGAGUUUUCUUGAUUAAUGCAUCAUGACAAAAUUUACCGAGUCCUAUCAGCUCAAUGCAACAAUGAUCCGUAACAAGUCCGGUCUUGAAUAUACUUGCAAAAACUUCAUUGACACAACGCAAUGUCAUCUUAGUUUCACAGUUAUUUGCCUUGAUGGGAUCAACAUCACGAGCCAUGACCGCUCCACUUGCCAUAAUAACCAAAACUCCAAAAGCAACAUAACUAUUGAAACUUGCCAUUGCGACUCAAGGAGUAAUUGAUGUCUCUCGUUUUGGUUGGCAGAAUACUUUGGUACUGCUGCAAGAAUUAGUUUGCCUAGAAAAUGUUUAUUUAUAGGAUAACCAUGAGGAAGGAGGGACUAAGAUGUAUUUAAAAACGUUUUAAAGAGAUUUCAGGUUCAAUAGCAUUAAAGUUUUUGUUUUAUGAAUUAAUUCGUUAAAUUUUCAACCAGAAGAGUUUUUUUAUUAGUAUAGCAUUCAAUAAUUCUUCAGUUAUCAAAACGUUUUAAAGGAGAGUUACAUUAGUCUCAAAAAAAAAAAAAUUUCUGGCCACCAUAUUAAGUUUGAUAGUUUGUGAAUUUAAUGCAGCAAAUAUGAAUGAAUCCAUUCCCUUUUCAAUAUUUGAGCUCGAGAUUAACAUUUUUCAAUAUUCGAGCUAGCCAAUUAUAAGUCUUUCUCUCAUGUUUCUAAGCUUCUUGUGUUGUUAGCUGGCUUGAUGCCUAAUUCAGAUGUAACUACUUCAUUGAUUGCAAUGUGGUAAAGCUUGGCACUAUAGUUUUCAAAUAUGUAUUGACUAUAUUCUGUUACAUGGACGGGUAUUACAUAAGGAUAAAUCAUGUUUUUGACAAAUUUUUACAUUAAUUUUGUAGAUACAAGUGUCAAUACCCCGUAUGAAUAAUAAAGUAUUCAAAAACUGUCGGAUACAAAUAAGUUGAGAUAAAUUGAAGAGUCCGUGUUACAUAUUCCGUCAAUUUUAAUCAUUUUGAAAGUUGACAUGGUGAAUUUUUUGAAGCUAUUGCUUACAUGAUUCUUUUUUUUUUUUUUUCAAAAAGGAUAUUGCCUACAUGAUAACUUAAGGCCAUAGUUUGUUGAGUAUCUUCUCCCAUUUGUUUAUUGAUCUCUAAGAUUUUACAUACUGAGAAAAGCAAAAAUAUUUUACAGCACAAGGGUUUCAAAUGAGUUGGGAGCUGGACAUCGUACGCGGGCUAAGAAUGCCACGGCUGUCACACUCAAGCUUUCCAUCAUCCUCGCUCUUGCAGUUGUCCUUGCUUUAGCAUUUGCUCAUAAUAUUUGGGCUGAUUUCUUUAGUAACAGCUCUUCAAUUAUAAAGAAAUCUGGCUCAAUGACACCCGAGCUUUUGAUCUUUUCAGGGAGUCUUAUCAAGUUAAUUAAUCUUCCUUAGGAUUCCCUUUAUGCUUUAUUGUUCUUUAGGGUUUGUGGAUGGGCUUAAUAUGCGGUCUCUCCUGCCAAGCUGGUGCCCUAUUGUUCAUUGCGUUGUACAGAAGAUGGACUAAAGUUGAGCUUCAUGCAGAAAAUGAUAUGGAAACUGGCAACUGAAUAUGCAUAUUUUGUUGGAUCGUUGAGAAUAUUAAUAACAAUUAAAUGGGCCAAAACUUGACGAAGUUAAACUAGUUGUUGAAAAGAAACGAUUUACACAAUUAAUGGGCUAGUCCCUUACCCUUCAAGAAAAGAAAAGUAAAUAAAUCUCGUUGUAUUCAAUUAUUAAGUAAGAACUUCAAUUGAUAAUUUUAGGAAACAUAUCUCGUCAUAAAAAACAAACAAGUGGUUCUUGUAUUUCUAAGUCAAGCCACCUCUUAUAUUUAGAAAACCAAAAAGAAAGAUUCUCGAUUCUAAAUAGGUUGUCACUCCAUUUAUAUUUCCUUUCUCGAGCUAUCAUCUUUUUCUCAUAAAAAGUGAUGUUGUAAGUGCUGUAUUCCUCCAUAUCUGACAUUGAUUUGUUGCAACAAACUAAACCACUGAACACUUAAAUAAGCUAUAGUAACAUCAAAAUUACUUGUCUCAAAAGAAAAUAAAAGUUGUUAUUACCCUUGGAAGCCAGGGUAUUGUUCCAACGAGAUUUUGUUUACUUAGAAACAAAAAAAGAAAAUUGAAACCACUAUAUAUAUACAUAUAUAUAUAUUUUCAAUGGAAUUGUAGAUUACUCAAUAAAAAUAAGCAAAUAUUUGCAAUCUCUGUUCUUCUCUUAUUCUAAGAUCUCAAUCUAUUGUAAAUGGAUAACAGGAUAUUCCUUCUUGGCCUUUUCCUGUUCGCGUUUGGUGGUGUUAAUGGAUUUCCCAUGAAUGAUCUAAUCGAAAAAUUGCCCGGACAACCAAAUGUUACUUUUAGACAAUUUUCUGGCUACAUUGACAUUGAUGGAAAGGCCGGUAGAAGUCUGUUCUAUUAUUUUGUUGAAGCUGAAAAAGAUCCAAUGAAUCUACCUCUCACUAUUUGGCUAACGGGAGGUUAGGCUUUUGUAUUGCUCCUUAAUUUUGUUUGGUUUUUAUUUCAAACUUAUGAAUCCAUGUUAGGUAGCAAUAUUUUUUAAUGUAUUGACAAAUGACAAGAAAAAGUUUAAAAUUGAUUAUAUGUUCAGGACCAGGCUGUGGUUCAGUUGGAGAUGGAUUUUUAAGUGUUGGUCCUUUCAUUACUACAGCUAAUGCUCAUGGUCUUCAAAGAAAUCCAUAUUCUUGGAUCAAAGGUUGAUAUUAUGCUUGUAACUUAGAACUUGACGUAUAGAUUUGUUUCAAUAGCUAUUGACUUUUGCUAUUCACAUAUUUUAGUGACAAAUCUCCUAUUUAUUGAUUCCCCUAUUGGAGCGGGAUGGUCCUACUCAAACACAAGCAGGGACUACGUAGUUGGAGAUGAUAGUACUAGUAAGCUCAUGUUCAACCCAAUAAUUUCCUUAUUUUCUUUUUUUUUGUGUCAAUAUUUAAUAAAAUUUUCCUUCAUUGUAUUUUAUAGAUAAAGACUUGCUUACAUUCAUACUCCAAUGGUUUGAAAAGCACCCGAAUUUUAAGUCUAGAGAUUUAUAUCUUGGCGGAUCAAGCUAUGCAGGUUCGAAAAUUAAUCAUUUCAUUUUUCCAUCUGAAAGUCAAAAAAGUUCGUUGUAGUUUCAUUUAGUUUAGAAUUUGAUGAAGAAUUAAUUCGCUGUUCAUGAAAAUUGAAUAGAAAUUAUGACCCCUAAAAAAUAUGUUUCUUUUCGGUUUGCAUGUCGUAACCUUUUAUAUAUAAAUUUCAUUUCACUUAUAAAAGUGUUAAUUUUUCUCAGGGCACUUCAUACCCAAUUUCGCUAAUUCCUUGCUCGAUUACAAUAACAACCAAUCAAACAGUUCCAAGUUCAACAUCAAAGGAUUGGCAGUAAGAAAUAUCUUGAUCUAACCACUCUUAAGUCCUUUUGCGUAAUUAGUUGUCUCAAAGAAAUAUUUUUCUGACAAUUUUAGGUCUUUUUUUUCUUUUUAUCUUUAAAUAGUUGGGGAAUCCACUUCUUCGUAAUAAGCUAGACACUCUUGCAGUAUAUGAUUUCUUUUGGUCACGUGGGAUGAUUAAUAUUAACUUACACCAACAAAUCUUGAAAGAAUGCAAUGGAAUUGACGAAGACAACUAUUCCAAUAAUGCUACCAAAUGGUCUGAACCAUGCCAACAAGCCAUGGAUAAAGCCGAAAUGGCUGCUUUUAUUGUAUCUUCCAUGAAUGUAGCUAAGGCAAGACGCUUUGAUGUUCUUCGAGACCCUUGUGAUGAAAAAUGGGAAGACCUUGUGUUAGGAAAGGAGGUAUUCAUGUUGUUUCUCUGUGUAUUAUUAUGAAACUUAUUCGCUUUUCUUUUAUUUAUAAUUUAUAUAUUAAUCAUUUUCUCUGCUGCUACAGGUUACGAAGGUUAGUUUUGAAGUAGAUAUGUGCAUUCCUUUUAGGGCAGAUUUCUAUUUCAACAUUCCGGAAGUUCAAAAAGCUUUUCAUGGGAAUCGAACCAAUUUAGGGUACCAAUGGAAGGGUUGUUUUGAGUAAGUUCUCUUAUUUAGAAAAUUUUGCACAUUAGGAUCUCGUCCAGUGACCUGUAACUAAUGUUUAUACUCUUUGUUUUUCUUUUUAAAAUCUUCAUAAUCUACUAGGAAAAGUGGUCUUAAAUAUAGUGAUGCUGAUAAAGACAUUGACAUGCUGCCUGCAUUGAAAAAGAUUCUCCAACAAUCUAUCCCUAUUACAAUAUUCAGGUUUGCAUUAUAUAUAUGUAUAAUAUGUUUCUUACUUGAGACUAAAACAAGUUUUAGUAAAUAUAUUAAACAGAAAUUACGUGGCUGACUUAUUUACGUUAUUUUCUUUUAUCUUUUCAUCCAAUAUCAUGUUACAGUGGAGACCAAGAUGCUAUAGUGCCAACCAUUGGAACCUUAAACCAUGUUAACAAGUUAGCCAAGGAUAUGAAUUUGAAUUUGACAAAAGAUGAAGCCUGGAAUCAUGAAAACAAGGUUUUUGGUUUCUCCAUUUGUAUUUUACUUAAUUAUUUAUUUAUCAUUUUCUUCUUAAUCAAUAUCAUAUUAAUUUGUCUGAUUAAUGGAUAGGGUGGAGGUUGGAUGUACUCGUACGACAAUUUAUUGAAUUUCAUGACUGUAAAAGGAGCUAAUCAUCAUGUGACUUUUUCUAAACCAUCUGAAGCUUUGUUUAUCUUCACAAAUAUUGUACUUAAUCAAUCACAAUGAGUUAGCCGAUCUCAACAAGGCCUUGAUGUCUCAUAUUCUUUUCUUCUGCCUACAAAAGGAAAAGGGAAAAGAAAGACAUCAUGGUAAUUUUAUGUUUUGUUGUAACGAAAUAGCAUUGAAUUUAUAUUUUUUGUACACUUAUUGCAAUUAAACAAUUAAUAUACAUUGAAAUUUGUCUUAGUGACGAAUGCAAAUGCUCUGGUAUGAUUUUUUGCAUAUUUUCCCGCCUCUAUAUGAUAAUAAAAACUCAAAUAAGAAGUAAAAUUUAAUCUCAUAAUCAAAUCGUUUUCAGUUAAUUUGAUUAAAAAUUGAAAAUUGUUCACUCCUAGAGGCCGCUAUCGUUUUAGUUCUUUUGAACGACUGUCGAGCCAAAUUAAGGUUGAUAGACUGAACAUGAUUUGCCAAUUACAAAUGCAAGGUGAAGUGGGAUUUGCUUUUAGUUGCAGUCCUCAGAAAAAGUCCCAUAUUAAAUGGAUAAUCCAAUAAUUAAUAUUUGUUUUAAGGAUGGGCAUGGGUUGUAUAAGUGCCGAGCUCGGUAACGUGGUCUUGUAACCAAGAGGGGCACUAAAGUGGUCGAAUGUUGCCAACGGAUGCCUCAAAGAGCUAGAGUUUAACCUUCUUCUUUGUGAAGAUCUUGUGCUCCACCCUUACCCUUGGGAAAAGGGACCCCCACCCUCCAUGGAUGGGUAGCCGAUCAAACUCUUUGAUUAAUAUAUGAUUCCGCCUAGGCACUGAACGACCAACUUUUUAUCAUUUCUUCCUACUCUAUCUUUUGAAGAAAAUAUGAAACAGAAUGUGUAGAUUACAUCGUAAUCUAGUUUUAAUUAGGCUAUCUUUUCUUUUUACCUUUUGAAUUCUUCUUUAUUCCUUAAUUUAGUUGCCCAUAUGAACUGGUCUCUUUCCGUCCCUAAUAGAGUUGGAUUUCCAAAACCUGGCUAAAAUAUUGGUCAUUGUCUAAUAUUCUUCAGAGAUUCUCUUUUUUUUUUUUAAUUUGAAUAAAAAGAUCAGAACUCAACUUUUUAAAUGAAAAAUACAAAUACUUAUCAUUAAAUGAUAUACUCAAAUGCCGUUACUUGAGAAUUCUUAAAACAGAAUAAAAACCACGAAAUUCAUGGAAACUCUUUAGGAGUAAAGUACCUUGGGACCAAAUCUUUUUAGGAAAUGCCCUAGCAAUUCACUAUUUCUUUUCAUGCCAAUGUCGAGCAAAAUUAGGGUUGAUAGAAUGAACAUGAUUUGUCAAUUACAAAUGCAGGCUAAAGUAGGAUUUAUUUUUACUUGCAGCCCUUGGAUAAAUCCCACAUUAAAUAGAUAAUCCUAUAAUUAAUAUGUUUAUUAAAGGUGAGCAUGAGUUCCAAGAGGUGUCUUCUUCUGAUGUUGAUGACAAGGCAACAAGCUACAUUUCCUAUAUCCGACACCGUUUGUGUGGAGAGUGUUGAUUCUUCGGAAAGGCAAGUAGCAGGAAAUGUUUAUAGAAGAUUUCUCAUUCCAAAUCCUGAAAACCCAAUGAAUGCGCUGGAAUCAAAAGUUUAGGAUCAUGACUUCUUUAAUAGCAUAGGAUACAAUAUUGCAAAUCACAAAGGUAAUAUUUUUUUAAUAUUUAUUGAUAAAACUUAAUUUUCAACCUUCCUAAUAAGGAGAAGGAGAGGGCGAAACAUCUUUGCUAACUAAAGUACAC